rnacentral:rRNA from 1 species
AACGAACGCUGGCGGCGUGCCUAACACAUGCAAGUCGGACGAGAAAGCCCGCUUCGGUGGGUGAGCAAAGUGGCGCACGGGUGAGUAACGCGUGAGUAACCUACCCUCAUGUUCAGGAAAACGUUGGGGAACUGGCGCUAAUACUGAAUGAAGUCAGAGGCCGCAGGGGCUCUGACCAAAGGAGGCCUCUACUUGUAAGCUUCUGCAGGAGGAAGGGCUCGCGUCCCAUUAGCUAGUUGGUAAGGUAACGGCCUACCAAGGCGACGAUGGGUAGCCGGCCUGAGAGGGUGUCCGGCCACACUGGAACUGAAACACGGUCCAGACUCCUACGGGAGGCAGCAGUGAGGAAUUUUGCGCAAUGGGCGAAAGCCUGACGCAGCGACGCCGCGUGGGCGAUGAAGCUUCUUGGAGUGUAAAGCCCUGUCAGGUGGGACGAAAUCAGAGGGGAACAAUACGCCCCGCUGCUGACGGUACCACCAGAGGAAGCCCCGGCUAACUCCGUGCCAGCCGCCGCAGUAAGAC